CAGGGAAAAGCCAUGAUAAUCAGACACAUAGGCUCCACUAGGCGACUCGUUGUCGCCAGAUGCUUGAUUGAGUCUAGCUGCUAGUUGCAUUUUACUAGAUUGGUGAGUGAUGAUGGUGUUACUCUUAAGUUGUAGGUACUACUAAAAAUGUAAAAUUUAGAAAAUUUUUCAAAAAUAAAAUGAAACUGCAUCUGCACUCAGUAGUGAACACUGAACAUCCAGAUGUAAAUUCACAGCAAAAUCAAUUUCAGAAUAGUUUAACUACCAUGAUAACAGACAAUUUGCCAUCUCUCGUAAAUAAUUCUGAAAUGCCACAAGCAAGAGCAUUUACAGAUAUUUCAAUUAAAAAUGUUUCUGUUGUUAUUGGAUCAAUAGCAGGUAUAUCCAUUCUGUCAUUUAUUAUGAUUGCUGCAUUAGUAUCAUGGCAUUGUUGUAGAACAAGAGCUACUCGAGCAAAAAUGUAUUGUAAGUAAUUUUUUAUUAUUAAUUUUCAAUGAAACAAAAAUUCUUAUUAAUAAGGAUCUAUUGUAAAUACAAUAAAUGCUUUAAAUUCAUAUUCC
rnacentral:lncRNA from 1 species